UCCCAGACUCCUACGGGAGGCAGCAGUGAGGAAUAUUGGUCAAUGGGCGCGAGCCUGAACCAGCCAAGUCGCGUGAGAGAGGACGGCCCUACGGGUUGUAAACCUCUUUUGCCGGGGAGCAACGGGCGUCACGUGUGGCGCCACUGAGAGUACCCGGAGAAAAAGCAUCGGCUAACUACGUGCCAGCAGCCGCGGUCAUACGUAGGAUCCGAGCAUUAUCCGGAGUGACUGGGUGUAGAGAGUUGCGUAGGUGGCAUAAUAAGUAGCUAGUGAAAUCUGGUGGCUCAACCAUUCAGACUAUUAGCUAAACUGUUAAGCUCGAGACCGUUAGGGGUAACUGGAAUUUCUAGUGUAGGAGUGAAAUCCGUAGAUAUUAGAAAGAACACCAAUAGCGUAGGCAGGUUACUGGGACGGUUCUGACACUAAGGCACGAAAGCGUAGGGAGCAAACGGGAUUAGAUACCCCAGUACA
rnacentral:rRNA from 1 species